rnacentral:lncRNA from 1 species
UUUUUAAAAAGGGCCCAUUGAGUUAUAAAAUUUAAAACUUUUUAUUUCAUAUGGUGUCACUUCCAAAAAAUGACACCGUAAAUCUGAAAUUAGCAUCAUCUAACUAUCCUAAUUAAAGAUUUUUUAUAUGAUGUGUCACCUUUAUAAAUUUUAAGUUCAAUGGUGUCAUUAUUUUAAAUGCGACACCAUAAAUAGUGACAUCAUAAAUUAUUUUUGUAGUAGUGU